UUAACUAUUGUAUAGUACUCAGACGACACUGACAUUCAGAGUUUGUAGGGCCUCUGGCGAGCCUAGCGGCCCGCCAAAGCAACGACGGUAACGAUAACAGUGGGUGGGAGAUCUACCCGGUGGGGCGAGAACUCUGUAAUGAUCCCUCCGCAGGUUCACCUACGGAAA
rnacentral:misc_RNA from 1 species